rnacentral:lncRNA from 1 species
CUCCCCAUCAAUCUCAGCUUCCCUCUUGGACUCAUUGACAUCGUUGCCCAAAUUGAUCGUCGUCGGUACAUCGCCCAAAUUUAUCGUCGUCAUCGGUACAUCACAGCUUCUCCAUCAUCGUCGAUACAUCCCAGCUUCCCUCCUGAAGGCACUAUUGUCGUCCCUCCCCUCCCGUCGAUACAUCACAUCUACUGCUCCUUUAUUCUUGCUCUUCUUCAAGAUCUGCAUUUUCCAUUCUCCAGGUA